rnacentral:rRNA from 1 species
UGGGGAAUUUUGGACAAUGGGCGAAAGCCUGAUCCAGCAAUGCCGCGUGUGUGAAGAAGGCCUUCGGGUUGUAAAGCACUUUUGUCCGGAAAGAAAUCCUUGGCUCUAAUACAGUCGGGGGAUGACGGUACCGGAAGAAUAAGCACCGGCUAACUACGUGCCAGCAGCCGCGGUAAUACGUAGGGUGCAAGCGUUAAUCGGAAUUACUGGGCGUAAAGCGUGCGCAGGCGGUUUGCUAAGACCGAUGUGAAAUCCCCGGGCUCAACCUGGGAACUGCAUUGGUGACUGGCAGGCUAGAGUAUGGCAGAGGGGGGUAGAAUUCCACGUGUAGCAGUGAAAUGCGUAGAGAUGUGGAGGAAUACCGAUGGCGAAGGCAGCCCCCUGGGCCAAUACUGACGCUCAUGCACGAAAGCGUGGGGAGCAAAACAGGAUUAGAUACCCUGGUAGUCCACGCCCUAAACGAUGUCAACUAGUUGUUGGGGAUUCAUUUCCUUAGUAACGUAGCUAACGCGUGGAGUUGACCGCCUGGGGAGUACGGUCGCAAGAUUAAAACUCAAAGGAAUUGACGGGGUCAUAGCUGUUUCCU